UCCUCGAUAGAAUGAUCAGUGCAAGAGAUCUUGAAAGUAGUUCCGUCUUCAGCAGAGUAAGAUCCUGGACAACUUCCCGAAGUUCUCUAUAGGAUUAUGAGAUACUGCAUGUACCCAGUAUUGGGCUGUAAUGCCAGUGGGGUGGCGGAUAGCCAGCGUUUCGUCGGAGUCUUCAUAAUCUUCUGGUUCUGUUCAAUCUCUGUUUAAGGUUUUGGUCUUUCUGGAUCGUUAUAGUAAGGUCGGUC
rnacentral:lncRNA from 1 species